GAUUAUGGCUCAGAAUGAACGCUGGCGGCAUGGAUUAGGCAUGCAAGUCGAACGAGAAAGCAGCUUCGGCUGCGAGUAAAGUGGCGAAAGGGUGAGUAACACGUGAAGAACCUGCCCCCCAGUCCGGAACAAUCCUGUGAAAACGGGCCUGAAACCGGAUGCCGGCCCCCUCCGCAUGGAGGGGCGCCGAAACAUUUAUGGCUGGAGGAUGGCUUCGCGUCCCAUUAGCUUGUUGGCGGGGUAGCGGCCCACCAAGGCGACGACGGGUAGGUGGUCUGAGAGGAUGGUCACCCACACUGGGACUGAGACACUGCCCAGACUCCUACGGGGGGCUGCAGUCGAGAAUCUUCCGCAAUGGGCGCAAGCCUGACGGAGCGAUGCCGCGUGAGGGAAGUAGGCCUUCGGGUUGUGAACCUCUGUCGACGGGGACGAAGCAAGUGACGGUACCCGUCAAGAAAGCCACGGCUAACCACGUGCCAGCAGCGGC
rnacentral:rRNA from 1 species